GAUGAACGCUAGCGGCAGGCCUAACACAUGCAAGUCGAGGGGUAGAGGAAGCUUGCUUCCUUGAGACCGGCGCACGGGUGCGUAACGCGUAUGCAGUCUACCUUUUACAGAGGGAUAGCCCAGAGAAAUUUGGAUUAAUACCUCAUAGUAUUUUCGAAUGGCAUCAUUUGAUUAUUAAAGUUCCAACGGUAAAAGAUGAGCAUGCGUCCUAUUAGCUAGAUGGUAAGGUAACGGCUUACCAUGGCAACGAUAGGUAGGGGUCCUGAGAGGGAGAUCCCCCACACUGGUACUGAGACACGGACCAGACUCCUACGGGAGGCAGCAGUGAGGAAUAUUGGACAAUGGGCGCAAGCCUGAUCCAGCCAUGCCGCGUGCAGGAAGACGCAUCUAUGGUGUGUAAACUGCUUUUGUACGGGAAGAAACACUCCCUCGUGAGGGAGCUUGACGGUACCGUAAGAAUAAGGAUCGGCUAACUCCGUGCCAGCAGCCGCCGUAAAAC
rnacentral:rRNA from 1 species